AUCAAGUUGAGAUCAUCAUUAUGACACUUAUAUACAACAAGCCUCACAGAAAAUAUCAGUCCUCUUAAAUUACAGAGUUUUUGAAUGAGUUAUGAAUGUAUGGUUGAGUAAAAUUUUUAUUUUAAAUAUUUUUUGAAAUGAUUUUUGUGAAUAAGAAUAUUUUUGUUAUAACUUAUCCUUAUCUAUAUUUUUAUCAUUUUUGCAUGAAAAAAAAUAUACAUAUCCUAGUUAGGCCACACCAAUAUAAUUUCUUGCUUGUCGGACAUUAAGUGGAAAAGGGUACAAGCGGGCUAGCGAUAAAAUAAUAAGAUUAUUAUUUUUUGUAGCCAAAAUUUUGAGGCGGUCCAUAAUGAUAUGAUUUGUAAAGUUUCAUUUAAACACGAGCAUGCAGGAUCCGAUAAAAAGGAAAUUUAAUUGGUGUGGCCUUCCACAUUUUCUAUAUUUUAGUUCAAAUUGAGGCUGAACCAUUGUAAUAUAUUACCCUGCAUAAUCAUUCUGAUAAAGUCUCCAUCAUACAUUAUAAAUAGCAUCAAGACCAAUAUAGGAAAUUCAAAUUAAUUACAAUCAGUAUAUGAUUUUUAUGAAACCUGUGAUUUAUUUGGUUUGAUUGUAUUUUAAAUCUUUCAACAAAGGCUUAAUAAAGAUUGUGUGUAUUAAAGUU
rnacentral:sRNA from 1 species